GACGAACGCUGGCGGCGUGCUUAACACAUGCAAGUCGAACGGAAAGGCCCUGCUUUUGUGGGGUGCUCGAGUGGCGAACGGGUGAGUAACACGUGAGUAACCUGCCCUUGACUUUGGGAUAACUUCAGGAAACUGGGGCUAAUACCGGAUAUGAGCUCCUGCUGCAUGGUGGGUGUUGGAAAGUUUCGGCGGUUGGGGAUGGACUCGCGGUUUAUCAGCUUGUUGGUGGGGUAGUGGCUUACCAAGGCUUUGACGGGUAGCCGGCCUGAGAGGGUGACCGGCCACAUUGGGACUGAGAUACGGCCCAGACUCCUACGUGAGGCAGCAGUGGAAAAUAUUGCACAAUGGGCGGAAGCCUGAUGCAACAACGCCGCGUGCGGGAUGACGGCCUUCGGGUUGUAAACCGCUUUCGCCUGUAACGAAGCGUAAGUGACGGUAAUGAGUAAAAAAGCACCGGCUAACUACGUG
rnacentral:rRNA from 1 species